GGUGGUUUUGUCAUUGGCUUGUAUAACACUGUAUCACUGUAUCACUACAUGCGGCAGAAAUCAAACAGCGUACAUUGUAUUGAAUUGGUUUUCUCCAAGAAGCACAUGCUAUGUCACUGACAUUUUUAUCCAUAAUACAUUCACGAUUCGUACUGAACAAAAACGCGACUUAAUCAAAAAUAAGGUAAAAAAGCUCUAUAAGACCAGGUUGAUAAUACCGCCCAAUACCACAUUUAUGAUGUUUAUUCACAAGGAUAUUCAUCCAGGUUAGAGGUGUUAGGCCUAUACAAAUUCUCGUCAGACCUCAUUGGUUGGAAUCGUGAUUUUGGGUAAUCCUACAUGUAUGAUUAACAUAUAAUGGGCGGGCAAGAAAUAUAUGAUCUGGUCUUAUACAGCCGAGUUGAGAGUAUAUUGUAUGUUUGGACCACCUACUGUAGUCACAUAUAGCUUCAAGAAAUCCAUAUAAUUUUGAAUUACACUAUAAUUAGCCAUUAUAUGUUUUAGCAAUCAAAUUGUUCCAGAUGAAGAACCAACAUGCUCUAUGUUAUAUCAGCAGUGUAUGAUACACUAAUCGACGUGCAAGGGACAUGUAGUUUUGAUUCAUGUGGACAUCGGCCGAGAGCAUGGUGGCUCUUCUUCUGGUGGAGGUUCGCUUUAAUGAAUAUUCUACGGCGGUGGGCACGAUUGUCAGUGUGCACGAUCUAUCUGGUGCGUAUCAUAUUGGUCUAUCACCAUCCGAAUAAAUUAGAUGUAGGCUACGUCACCUAUUUCGAUUUCGCUCUCGUUUAUUAAAUAAAUUUCUCUUUCUACAUUAUCUGCUUCUCUUGAUUAUAUUUUCAAAUAUGUGGGAAUGGAUGAGGUCAAGUAUUGGGUUUAACCAGAUUUUAAAACCGGUUUUAAGAAAGUUUUAGGCUGCGCUAAAACUGGUAUUUGACCUCCCAACAUGUUUUUGGUUAAAACUGUCUUGAAACUGUCUUUAGACAGAUUUAAGACAAGUUUGAAAACUCUGAUAAAACUUUGGAAGUUUUAAUCUGAACAGAGAGCUAAAAGUUUUGUAAAAUGCACUACCAAAUGUACAUGGUCGGUUUUAAGUCCUAGGGCUUAAGACUGUGCUGAGGUCAAAUAUCAGAAUAAAACCAGCAGUCAUGUUUGCUCUACCUGUAAUAGUUGCUGUUGCUCAGCAAAGAGGAGACAACUUUGUAAGAAAGCCUGCCUUCAGCGGAGAACCAAUUGAGAGGCAUUUGAGACUAAACCAGCGCAUGAUGCAUGAGAACUGAUUCAGCAAAUCCUUAAGUUUUAGCCUGGCUUUAUCUUAGUUUUUAUCUAAGGUUUUAUCUCGGUUUCAAUCUAGUCUUAAUCCUAGGGCAGUUUCAUGUGGUCAAAUUAAGACCGAGAGUUGGUUUUAAACCGGGAUAAACUUGGUUUUAACUCGGUUUUGUCUUAAACCCAAUACUUGACCUCACCCAUUGUACUGUAACGUGAAGUCCUGGAACUAUAGGCUUCACGGUAUUCAUAUGGUUAAUUUGUAAAACGGAUAGGGACUGGCCUUCUCUUAAUUCGGUAAGCUCUUCGCCUUUGUUUCGCACCUUUCUUAAGUAAUCACAUUGGUCAAAAGUUCGAGAGUUAGAGUCGCGCGUUCGGAGUCUAAUAAACAAAGUUUCGUAAGUCAUGUCUUAAAGGGAUAGCUAAUCAGUUUCGCUAGUAAAAGUAUUGUUUAGCGUCCCGGUGUAACAUCUGUGGUUUUUCCCCAUGUGUCAGUGUUUCCAAACAAUAGGCAGCUAGAGAGACCACGACUUUUCAAUAGGGGGGAUACACAGAAAAACUUGUCAAUCUAUUUUUGAGCGUUCCCAAACAAUGAGGGGAAACACUCAAAAACAGAAACACUCAAAAACAUUACACCGGUCGUGGUCACCUGGAAUGUGGCUGUCCAAACACGGCUUUGCGCUGGUAAAUGUCUACCAGAGGGAGGCACCUGACAUGGUCAGUUCUUUCUGGACCCCCUCAUAUCAGAUGGCCUCGGCAGUUCUUUGAUUAACAACCUUUCAUAAUAAUGCCGGACUCUGGACUCGUGGCUCGGCUCCUGAAUACUGGUGCGACACACACACUCUCUCUCUCUGUUGCCAACCACCUCUGAACUAGGACUUUGAGCGUGCUCUGCCGUUAAGGAUUACAAACUGAUUUUGAUUGUAAGUACGAAUAAACUACAUGUACAUGUAUUCUAAUUAAUACUCUUGUCUUCCGGCUUCAUCGUCUACCAGUAGUUAGUCUCUUUGCAAGUGCAACCGGUCUAAGGCAGCAGGUCUUCUGGUUACCCCGUAUCCAGGGAGCUUGUGUUCAUGGUAGCAGAGCAUCUAUGGACUGUUCACGAGAUCAUUCUCUCAAAUGCCAAAAACAUUGAUCUACAUCGAUUUGUUUUUUCUUUGGAAAUGCUUCUCAAAAGUUCAUAUUACGAUGUGUUCUCAUUGACCUACACGGACAGCCGAUGGUACACGCGCCGUUAGUCCAAAAAACAAAAAUAAAUUUGUAAAUGAAUUUAAAAAAUACGUAAUACACUGAACAUAAAUUUCAGUCUACCGCUGCAUGAUAACUGCAUUACGGUAUUGUGUAUAACUGCACUUCUAUUUUCUUGACCCGCGACUAAUACGAACGGCGUAACUCUUUCACAUAAUCGCUGAGUGCCAAUCAGGAUCUGGUUAAGAAUCAGAACGCACGAAAGGUUACACUGACCUGUCCAUGCGGGUGUACUUUAAUCUGUCCAUAAGGCACGAUAGUUACGACAUUUUGCAUGCAAAAGAAAACCACCAACAGACUAAAGCAUAGAGUAAGCUUAGUCUAUUCUUGAUAACUAUAAGAGUAGAAGGUGGGCAAGAAUAGGAAGACCUUGACCUAUCAAGAUGUUUGAAAAUUUAAAUUUGAAUUUUGUUGUUGAUUAGCUGAGUUUGAAAUCAAACGAGGCUAACCGUUGGCCUAGAUACUUGAAAAAUAUACAUGUCUAGGUAACCGUCAUCAGCUCAGAAGCAAAAAAUGGUUAAAAAGAGCCAUUUUUUGCUUUGGAUAGGUCAACGCUUCCUAUUCUUGCCCACCGACUGCUGUUUUAUUGAAGACUGGUAAAAAUGUACAAGAAAACGACUACAUAUUUGUGCACAUGCAUUUAAAAAUGUCAAAAUGCGCUACUUGAAAGCCAAAUGCCAUGCAAUAUAGUCCUCAUAGCUAGCGGUACGACAACCUUGAAGAAUCCACCAGGAUUUGGGGAAAAGUUUGAUCAUGGGUAUGGGCAGUCUCUCCCUGCGUACAAUUUUGAUUCUGUUUUCAUGAUUAUUGUCACAUUCUUCCCUUGAAAUAGUAGGCACUAUUAUGAUGCCUUUACAGUGAAUUAGUUCAGGUUUGUAAGUAGAAAAAGCAAAUUCGAGUGAUUGUUUCAUGAAAUUCGGUUGAGCGCUGCUCAAAUGGGUGUACGACCUUCAUAUAGCUUCCAGUAUUUGCUCCUAAUCAGCUUGUCCAAGUCGGCAACACCAAGAAAUUCCAGGCACUGGGUUAUUGUUCUGACUUUUGAACGUUUCAUGAAAAAGAUCUUGUUCAUGGUGAAAGGUCCGAAUUGUUCCGAUGGAUCGAUACUUCUGUUCAGAAUGAACAGGUCGUCCAGGUGUAAGAAAUUCCCCAGAGCCACUAGUGUACCUUUACCAUCUUGUUUCACUUCUCGAAUGUUAUCGUUGUAUGCCUCCUCUCCCAGCACAUACACCUGUUUUGGCGAAUGCACCCCGUCUGGGUAAAAUGCCUGGUGCAGUGCAUAAUUUAGAAUAGCGCGGAUCGUCGAGGGCAAUGAUGCUUCUCGUAGGGCGUCCAUUCUAGAAAUGAGCACCCCUGCGCCUAAUUCAGUAUUAUAAUAAUUAAGAAGUGCUGUGAUAUGAUUGGCUGCGAUAUACGUACAUUUUUAAUGUAUGCCCUGUUUGUUAUCCCGAAUUAGGCCAAUCAAAACAGUUGACUUUGAAUUUCAAAUAAUACAAUACCCAGAUGUUUUCAUGACAGUCAGAGAUUUGAAAUUCAAAUUUUAAAAUUCAGAGUUGAUAUGAUUAGGCAUCUAUCAGAUUUGUGUACUUAACACAUUCUUGCACCUUCCAGAAUAAAAAAACCCCUAAAAUUCUCCAUCACCGACUUGGGUUGUUACUCUUAGACUCAUCUGAUUAGAAUUACUAUGAAGAUUCUGUGUAAGGCAUCAGUUCGUGUAAAAAGUGCUGAAUAAAGAAAACAACCCUAGAAUCCUCCAUCACCACCUUAGGUUGCUACUCAUAAACUAAGCAUUCACACCAUUGUAAACCAUGGCGUCUUUUUCACUAGAGGCCUUUCUGGAUAACAUGCGACUAUUGGUAAACAAUUGUCUUAACGAACACCUAGAAGGCAUACCAGAUGUGGAAACAGAGGAAUUUCAGUCUAUGAUCAACCCGAUGCGAAGCUGUAUUGAUAGCGGACUCUUUCAGGGUGUGGAUGGUAUGUGUAAUUAUCUGCUAUUUCCUCAGGUAGAGGAGAAAUUAUUUUCUGACAUCCUCCUUCAUGAUAUUGUCACCAGCUCAACCACAGACAAUGGUACCUCCUCAAGACUCGGUGCUCCACCAUUUGAACUGGUGGCAGAAGAGUCAGUAGUUCAGACUAACGAGGGUCAAACAAAUGACCCACAAAUAUCAUGUAAAAGUAGGCCUAGUGGUAAUCAUCCAUCGGCACAAGAGCAAACACCAGCAGCAGCAUGCAUGAGUAGCUGCAAUGAUCAGACACCAGCACCAGCAGUACAAGUUAAAAACCAAGCUGCUAAAAAGCAAGAGCACACAUCAUCUGAAAACAGGCGUCACAAACAAGCCCUGAAACCAAAAUUGGAUUUAGAUCGAAAAAGAAAAGGUACAGAAUUUCAUGUACCAAUUUUACGCAAGAUUUUGAAAAGGGAACCAUUCAUCGUCAUAUCCGAUGAUAGUGAUGCUGAUAAGAAUAAAAAUAAUGAUAUAAAAUGCAAAAAUCCUUGUACUAGUAAAUCAACAAAAAACAAGAAAAGGUAAAUGCCAUUAGAAAAUCUUGGAGCAGCCCAACCCAAAUCUGCCUAGCAACUCACAAGAUUACAGUGGAACAUGGAAAAGGGCUCCCCAACCAAAAUGUUCUACAUCCAAAAAGAUAUAAAAAAUGAGCAGAAGCAAGAACCAAAUAUGUCAAAAAAUGAAAAAAAUAAACCGAAGCAAGAACCAAAUAGAUCAACAGAUUUAGGUAAUUUCUUAAAGAAAUGGAAAAAAGAACUCAAAAACAACAAAACCGAAAACUCAAACACUCAAGACUCUAAACAAGUGUCUGAUGAUCUAGCACACUCAAGUACUGAAGACUUCAAAAAAGAGAUUGCCGAACUCACCUCCUGUUGUGAAGAAAAAUGGGUUUUUUAGGCUAAAGAACCAACAAGGCAGAAACCCCUUUCAUCCAUUGUUGUGGCAAAGGCCCAAAUUGACAAACACAAUAAAUACCAAUCAAUCAAAAGAGAUACUAAAUUGCAGGAAGAAUUGGCGUGUAAUCUGCAUAGAGGGGCAGGAGUACCAUUUAAAAAAUGUGGAAUCAAAGAAAUGAAAAUGUUUCAGAAUGCAUUGGAUGUAUAUCAACUCAUAGUCUAUAACAACAAGCAUUUUGACAAAAUCAUAUUCAUAGGCCCUGAAGCACCAAACAAAUUGUUUAUUUACCACUAUCGAGACCAUUUUGCUGUAAUCACUAAGAUGGCGUCAUUUCUGAAUAGGUCAUUCUUCUGUCCAUACUGUUUGAAGGGUGAUAAUGACUAUGCUUCUCAUGCCUGCCAAGAAAGCUGUCCGUGUUUAGAUGCCAACCAAACUGUGUUAUUGUAAAAUGGAAAAAGUUAUGAAAAAAUGUUAUCAGUGCAAACGCAUAUUUAAGAGUUUGAAUUGUUUAAGGAACCAUCUGGAAAAAAUAAUGCAAAUCAUAGUGUGCGUGAUCUGUUCACAAAUCAUGAUGUUGGUAAAAAGACUAGUCUAAGAGAUACUAGAAAAAUCCACAAAUUUACAUGUCAUACUGUAACACGUUAAUAUGUAGUGCGUUAAAGCCAAAGGAGCACAAAUGCUACGUUCCCACUGUAGCUAAAGCUAUUAGCUAAGUCCAAUGGAAAAAUGCGCACGAUCUAUUUUGAUUUUUAAUGUCGACAGGACGAACUUGUCAAAAAUGAAGAUGAGGAAUAUGAGCAUAGGCUUAAUUUGUGCAUGGCACACAGUUGCUGUGUGAAAUGUGGUAUGGACGAAACCAUCAUGAAUGCAUGUGAACAUUGUGGUCCUUUUAAUAAGGAAAUGAUUUUUGAGGGUGAUACAUGUGCUGACAAGUUUUGUGAAUGGCUUUUUGAUGGCAGCAAGAAAAGGUCAACAGUACUUGCCCAUAACAGUAGUGGGUGUGAUUCAUUCUUUAUUUUUCAAUAUCUACACCGGAAUGGCGUCAAACCAGAAAAUUUCAUCAAGUCAGGUCAGAAAUUGAUAUCAUUUGAGGCCAAGGGUUUGAAAUUCAUUGAUUCACUGAGCUUUUUGACUAUGUCUCUUGCUAAUUUAUAAAAAACCUGGGGACUUAGUACCCAAAAGGAACCUUUCCACAUUUGUUCAAUAAAAAGAGAAUGCUGCCUAUGUUGGGAAAUAUCCAGACAUUUCCUAUUAUGAUUCUGAUUCUAUGCAACCAUGUGAAAGGGAGACUUUUCUCAAAUGGUAUCAAGAGCAAGACGGGAAAAUUUUCAAUUUUAGGGAGGAGUUUAUUGCAUAUUGUAAAAUUGAUGUUGAUAUUCUGUGUAGGUGCUGUACUUCCUUCAUAAUCCUCUUUGAAAAGGUGACUGGUAUCAAUCCAUUUGAAAAGAGUGCGAUCGACGCAAUUUCAUGCCAGCUAAUACUAUAGCAGUUAUUCCACUAUAUGGCUAUUUGAACAAGGAUAACCAUUCACAUAUUCCUAUAAUGUGGCUUGAAUGGCUUAUGAAAAAAGAACACAUCAAUAUUCUACAUGCAAAGAAUCAAGGUGAACAAUAUAUUGGGGGUUACAAAGUUGAUGGGUAUGACCCCACUAACGAAGUGGUUUAUGAGUUUGACGGAUGUUUUUUUUCAUGGCUGCCAAUUAUGUCAUCCUAAUAGGGACACUGUCAAUCAACGCUGUGGGAGUUGCAUGAGAAUACACUAUUCAGGCGUAAGCACUUGGAGGGGUUUUGUAAGAAGGUAAUACACAUUAGAGAAUGCCAGUUCUUGAAUGAGAUCAAAAAUGAUGAAGAACUUAAGACAUUCACCGAAAAUAUCCAUUUCUUUAAGCGGUUAAACCCUAGAGAUGCCUUCUAUGGGGGUAGGACCAAUGCAUUGACUUUGUAUUACAAAUGCAAACCAGAUGAAUGUAUAAAAUACAUUGAUUUUACAUCCUUGUAUCCUGCAGUAUGUAAAUACAACCAUUUUCCAAUAGGUCACCCAAAGGUAUUGACGGAUGACCAACUUGAGGGCGUUGAUCCUUUGUCAUGUGAGGGGUUAAUCAAAUGCACUGUUUUGCCUCCGAAGGACCUGUACUUGCCUGUUUUGCCUGUUCGAGUUGGGAAUAAGUUGAAAUUUCCAUUGUGUUACGAGUGUGCCGAUCAGUGCCUCGAUACAUGUACACAUUCUAAUCCAGAACGGUCAUUAACCGGAACAUGGGUUAUUUUUGAAAUUAAGGAAGCAGUAAAAUUAGGUUACAAAAUUACACAGGUUUAUGAAAUUUGGCACUUCUCUGAAACCAUGGUGUAUGAUCCAGGAGGCAAGAAAGGCGGUCUUUUCACUGAUUACAUCAAUGCAUUUUUGAAAAUAAAGCUUGAAGUAAGUGGUUGGCCUGACGGUGCAAGACAGAAAUAGAUAGGCAGACAUAUAUGAGGACGCUAUUGAGGGCAUUGGCCAAAUUAUGUUUAUGCUCGGGGUAGGGUAAGAUUGGUGAGUGACCUAUAUUUAUGAAGACUGAAUAUGUCUCAGAACCAUCAGAGUAUUUUCAAAAAAUGACAGAUGACACGAUUGAGGUCAGAGAUGUACAAAUGGUUAAUGAUGAAUGUGUCCUCAUGAUGACCUGUUCAAAGGAGCAAUUUGUUGAGGCUAACAAUAAGACCAAUGUGGUCAUUGCAGCAUAUAUGUAACAGCACAUGGGAGACUGAAAUUAUUUUCAGAGUUGAGUAAACUUGGUAAAACUGUGUUGUACUUUGAUACUGACAGCAUAAUUUAUCGUGAGAGUUCAAACACUUCGUCAUACAGACCUGUUUUAAACGACUUCUUGGGCCAUUUUAAAGACGAACUCUCGGGAAACACAAUCACUGAUUUCGUGUCUGGAGGCCCGAAGAACUAUGCAUACAAAUUAAAGACACCAGAGUGUGAUGGUGUGCAAACGGUAUGCAAAGUACGGGGAUUCACUUUGAAAUACCGAAAUGGUCAAUCAAUUAACUUUGAUUCAAUGAAACGUUUGAUCCUGGAGAACCGGUUUGAUGAGAGGAUUGUUGUUAGGAAUCCUCGAAAAAUCGAACGGAAGAAAGAUUUCAAAGUUGUAUCUGCACCCGAGUCAAAGGCUCAUGGAAUUGUGUAUGAUAAGAGGAUUAUCACAGAGAGUUUUCAAACAAUACCAUUUGGCUACCAACACUAAGGGUUAGGCAUUUUUCAUUUAUCAGCAGAUACCAACACAAGUGCAUUCUUAUGUUUGCUUAGUAGAUAACCUGAAUUGCACUCUGUAUACUGUAUGUAUAGCCUUUUUUGGUCUACUGUGCUAUGAUACUGAUUGUUAUUAUUAGCAAUUAUGUGUAAUCUUAUGAUUGUGAUAUUAAACUACUACUAGAAAUUCAUAUAAUUGCGAUAAAUUGUUCGUCAUUAUACUAAUGUCUCCUAUGUAAUCAUGUAUAAUUUGCAAGUAUGAACUAAAUGUAUGUAACAUGCACUGUGUGUAUGGUAAUAAUGAUAUCAAAAUCAUAUAAAUAUUUUGUUUAUUGGCACGCUAAGGUUGAAAUACAU